UCAACUAUGUGAAGGGUCACAAGAAAAAGAAUUACAAUCAAAACAACAAAAGUUCUCCUUCAAAGCCACAAGGAAAAGCUUCCUAUCAGCAUCAGCGUCAGCAACAGCCUUUCCCAGUGGACAAAGACAAUUGUCUCCACUGUAAGAAGACCGGGCAUUACAAGAAAGACUGUCCUGAUUGCUAAAGUCAAUCAUGGCAAAAAGAGGGAUUCCAUUCGACGCGGACUACGCUAAGAAGCGAAAGACGCAUUGAAGUGGCGAACGGAGUUGAAGCAGAAGUUGAAGCUGUCGGUGAUAUCUCCUUGGAGUUAGCUGAUGGAUUCAAUCUUCUACUUAGAGAUGUUUUAUUUGUUCCAUCAUGGCAUAGAAACUUAAUAAGUGUUUCUUGUUUGGACAAAGAUAAUUAUGAAUGUUAUUUUGGGCAUGGCAAGUGUGCCAUUUGGUUAAAUAAUGCUUAUGUGGGUGAUGCUUUACUACAUGAUGAGCUUUAUUUGUUAUCACUUCGUGAAAAAGUUUAUUCCGUUUGCAAUGUGAAAGAACAUGUUUCCGCGUCGAAUAAAGAACAAAAGAAAAGAAAAAGAACAUUCGACUCAUCGAAAUUAUGGCACUGUCGCUUGGGCCAUAUUUCGAAGGGGAGAAUAGAAAGAUUAGUCAAAAGUGAAAUUCUUCCUCCGUUAGAAUUUUCAGACUUAGAACAAUGCAUAGAUUGCGUUAAAGGAAAGUACGUAAAACAAAUCAAAAAAGGUGCAGUCCAUAGCACAGGCACACUAGAAAUCAUUCACACUGAUAUUUGUGGACCAUUUUCGGUGAAAAGUGUGGAUGGAUAUGACUCGUUCAUAACAUUCACAGAUGAUUACUCUCGCUAUGGUUAUAUUUAUCCAAUCAAAGAAAGAUCGGAAGCGUUGGAUAAAUUUAAACUAUUCAAAGCUGAAGUUGAAAAUCAGCACGAUAAAAGAAUAAA